CACCUCCUCUCCUCUGGAUCUAGAAUCCUCUCGCCCAAUCUCGCCGAGUCCACUCGAGGGGGGGAAAAGAAAUCCAGAUCUCGCCGGAACUACUUUCGUUUUGGUGAUACAAUUAAUUCGUGCGGUUUGCGAAUUAAAUCCGCUGCUUCGAACGCGGAACGGUGAGCUUCUCUGUUUCGAUUUGUGCCAAAAGAAUCCGUUUGUUUCCUGAUGCGCAGGUUGAUCUGAUGGAUUUGCUGGGCCUAUUACGGCUUGAAGCGAGCUGCGAGGGCAUGGAUCUGAGCACGGAAGAUUCAGAUCUGCGCGCUCGCUCCCGUCGGAUCACGGAUCGAUCCAGCGAACCGCGGUGAGAUUGGGUUGUUCCGGCGGGUUCGCUGCGACGAGGAGGUUGCGAAGCGUGGCCGGUCGGAGGGAUCUGUUCUUCUGCUCCUCCUGGCGGGAUGAUCUCUCUGUACUGAUAAUUAUCCGAUGAAUUUUCGAUAAUUAUUAGGUCUAAGAGAUGUGAAACCGUGCCGAUUUGAAGGCAAGGUAAGGUGAAGCAUGUAAAUCGAGUCAGCGUGUGUCGAGAGGGCAGAAAAAAGGGUGGAAAAAAGAUGUGACAUGCUAGAGAGGCCUUUGCCAUGAUGGGUGCGCUCGCAUGGCAGGCCGCCGUAAUAAAAAAAGAUGAUUCUUGUGUCUCGGGGGGAGAUCGCACGGGGGGUAAUUUUUGGCCCCGGGUUCUCCCUCUCAUGGUGUCCCCGUGUCUAUCUUCGUCUGUAUUAUCUGCUCGUCGUGCGACUACUACAUGAUACGGCACGCAAUUAACAAUGGAGCUACAGCGCAACACCAAGAGACAGUUGCAAAAAUGCUGUACGAUGGAUUCUACAGUUAUGUCUUGGAACAAGAUGGCUUUAUCGGAGUGGUGCUUAUAACAAGAUGGAUUCUACAGCUUUGCUGAGGGAGCGUGUUGAUGGUGCGUCCUGAAAUUUCAAUGGAUCAUGCGGUUGCUGGUUCUGGAGCAAAUUGUGCCCCAAAACCAGCUAUCAGGUCUUUGGUACUCCAGCUACUGUAAUAUUUUCCUGGGUAUAUCCUUUCAUUUAUGUUGUCCACCAGUCCGUGUCCGGACUGUACAUACUUGUGGACAAUUUAUUUGGCAGUUGACAUCCCAGCUCGUUUAGAGCUUACGAGGUCUCGCUGGUUUUUCUCCAAGAAUACUAUCAUUUGCCAAUUUA